UUGGCGUGAAUAUCAAGUUAGCAUAUUAUGUCUCAAAUAAUUGGGCAAAGAGAGCUGAAGAAAGUUAAAGAGGAAAAAAGGCAUAUCCUAGUGCUAGUAUAAUACACAUGCGAAGGAAUCACCUUUUGCACAGUAUUAGUCUUGUAAAUAAUGAUCAAAAUCAUGCUAAACAGCUAGUUACAAAAUCUGCAGUGCUAUGGCCUAGUAGAGGCAACUGGAAUAACUGCCCGACAAACUUGCAAAGAAUUUUGCACAUCGAUCGAUCUGAAGCUUGCACAUGCAGCCUGUUCUGCUGCAUCUCUGCAACCGCUUCACAGUAGGUCAAAUUGACACUUCUCAUAACCUGCAGAGUUCAAAAAAAAAGUUCAUUAGAAAAACGAAGUUAGGAGAAACUUCAGAUGUGCAGUGACUCAUCUCUGCAAACAAGAAGGAUUUUGGUUCAGCAUUGGCUAUAGAUGGCUGCAACAAGAAUUCAUCUAGCUAGUAUUUUUCAGAAAUCCAAAGUUGGCCAAAAUUCAUCCGAAUUCAGAACACAUGGUACAUGCAGGGCAACACUGCAACCUGUCAAAGCCAAGUGUCUUUUUCAUGUUCAGCUACUCAGUUCUAGCAAAGCAUAUUGCACUAACUAAAACAACAGACCUGUAAACGAUGUUUUCUAAUUCUAAUCAGAAAAAAAGAAGAUUUUUUUGUGAUUACGAGAAGAUUAUGAAAAGUGAGAACAGGAAGAGACACUCCUCUUUUUGCUUAUGCUUACGUUCAUGCUUAUCAAAAUUUAAAUUUUCAAAUUUAGAUUUAGAAUUGAUUUUGUAGUUUUUUUUUUACCAAAGUUGAUUAUUGGGAAGAUGAUGAGAAGAGGAGGAGGAGGAGGAGGAGGAGAAGGUUUACUUGGGUCUCGGGUGACGAUGGUGGCGGUGCCGCCGAAG
rnacentral:lncRNA from 1 species